CGGUGAGAUCGGUUGUUCCAAUCGAGAGAGUCAGACCAGCCGCCGGCCACAGCACGGCCGCCACAGCUUCACCCAGGCACCAGCCACACGCGGCACACGCCUCUUCCGCUGCCGCUGCCCGGCUCCUCGGCUGCCGCCCUGGCCGACGAAAACGCACGGCCGCCCGCAGAGAGAGAGAGAGAGAGAGAGAGAGAGGGACUGCUAGAGAAUGAGGGGCCUACGAGCGAAGGAGAGACCGAACGGCGGCGGCCGCCGCCAGCCAACGCAGUCCGCAGCACGCCGGCUUUCUUCCAGCGGUCCAACCUACAGGAGCUUCCCCCGGUGCAAGGUAACAGCCUCGUCGUCGUUGGCUCGUCGUCCGGCCGUCGCCUACUCGCCAUCGGGGCGUCCCGACAUCGCUGAAUCUUCGUCUCCCUCCAUCCGUCCGGCAGCCCGCCAGCCCCGAUUGGUAGUUGGGUGUUAUUCCCCAAAUUUGCUCCUCUGCAUUCUGCAACUUUGCUCCUCUGUCUUCUCCCACAGUUUCUAUUCUUUAAUGUUAUUCUUUUUAUUUAUUUGAUAAUAAUAUCUUUAUGUCAUACGUCCACAAAUGGUUUGAUAAUAUAUUCACAUAUGUUAGACCAGAAGCAAAUUGUCUGCAAUUUCCAUGUAUGUCAUAGGCAAGUGAUUACUAUUUAGUUUGCUUACUAACCCCCUUAGAGCAGUGCAUAAGUCUCGUAAGUUUUGUGUCUAGAUGAAGCUUCAGAUGAGAGUGAAACCCAAUUAUCAGAAGACCAAGUUCCAUGUCAAAGUGAAACGGAAAAAUAAAAUAAUAUCUGCAAAAAAAGGGAUAAGAAAAUAAUGUUCUCGACCAGAAACAAGCAUAACGAGCUGAAAGGACAGAUCUAGCAAUAUUGUAGCUUCUGAAGUUAAAAUUUCACAGCAAAAACCUAUCUCUUGCAACAUAUGAAAAUUGCUGGAAAUAUGAGCGGAGCGGAUCACAGUGGGCUGUGGUUGCGCACGGACAUUUCGGCUAGUUUUAAUGGUUAAAUACUGAAAUAUUGUGUUCAAGCUAUUAUUAAGAAUUUUUUUUGCUUCUUUUUUGGCCUGGGGCGUUAGAAAUUCCUGUCUCCACCACUGCUCUUAGCCGGUACGAUUGAUAUGCUUGGAUAAGGCAUCGGGUUAAAAGUUUGUUACGACUCGCUGCGAUUUCUUCUGGCACGUUGCCCAAUCGAUCUGAUCGUAUUCCACUGUUCCUGCCCUGUUGCGCAGCCGGCAUCCCGCAGCCCUGCGCUUCUUCGGCUCUUCCAAUCCGCCGACGCAGCACCGCCGUCGCUCAUUGUCUUGGCCUUAGCUGUCGCCCACCGGGAAAAGAAAAUUACAAGAUCGCAAGUGUCUGGUUCACAGGUGUACACACACGGUGAGUUCUUGUCAUCAACUGUUUAACCUGGUGCCCUAAAAAUUACAGAUCUAAGACACUAAAGAUCGAUUAUGAAAUAUUUGAUUGUCCAGUUAACUAAUUAUGCUUCUGUUGUGUCCAGAUCAACAUAUCUAUCUCUUUUUUUUGUUUGUCUCUUUGUACUGCCAUAUAUGGUCUCUUGAUUAUUUUUCGCCUGAGUGUGACGCUCCUGCAGCCGAUUUUGGAUUCUCCAGCUGAGUUUAUACCCUUUGGUCUUUGAGUAUGUAUGGCUAUCAGGUCAUAUAUAUUGUUAAAUUGCGAUUCUCCCCAGAUUGUUGUCGUGGCUGAUGAUCUUCUUUUUAGACAUAUAAGGUACUCCUGGCAGCAUCGGGGGUGGGUGCACACAUGAUUUGCACUUCUUAGGAAUAUAAAUGCCCUACGCAUUGAGUACAUCGUUUGACUGCUCUAGUUUAACCUUUAUUUAUUUUAUGCAGGAAGGAUCGAUGAGUAUGAUCUGGCAUAGUCGAUCAAUCUUGAUUUUGGACAUAUAUAUCUUCCUUUUUCCCAGAUCACAGGCCAGGUUAUCUACUUGUCAACUGAGAAGAGCUGCUCAUAAGAGUUAGGUAAUAUACCCUAAUCCUCUUUUAAUUCAAAUUGAGCAUUUCUUACACAUACACAAGAAAAUUUAUUAUAUUUGUGGUUUGUUACCUAUGGAUGCUUCAAAGUGAAGCAUCUAUUCCCCCAUGUGAAUUAUCAAUUUUUGAAUUAGCUAAUCAAAACUUAUACAAACUUGUUACUAAUGAGGUAGAUAAUCCAGUAAUCAAAGAACAACCAAUACUGAGGGUAUCUCAUACGUCAUCCUCUUAGCUGGCAAUUAGGACCUUUAUGAUGAUAAUUGUUCCUUCUAUAUUUUAGCCGACAAUAGAUAAUUGAUAGAACUGACCAAUGAACUGAUCACUGGUAUUCUCAUAGAUGUUUUGAUUGGCUGGCUAACACUAAAUGAGUGCUCCUUUUAUAUCUCAAAGCAGUUAAAAAUUUAUUAAUGAGCCACCAUAACGAUAUCUAUUUCAACUGUGGUGGAACAUUAACAAACAGCAACACUGCAACGUUAACACAUACAGUUAACCAGUGAUACUCUGUUACAGAUUAGCACAUCCCUAUACCUAGUUUGCAUUUUCAGCCUAUUUGGAGUUAUAAUAUCAGCCGCUAUUAUAGUAAAACAUGGGCCUCCCUUUAUUGUUUUGGGUCCCAACAGCCUAUAGCUUGGCCCAAAUAGAGGGAGCCCGAAGGUCCAAGAUCCAAAGCCUUUCCAGUGAUACACACUUUUAUUUAACGCACAUAAGAGUAGGUUAGGAGUGGCGCACAUAAGUGUAGGUUAGUCAUUCUUGAUCGAUGUUGUCGGAAGGCUUGAAGCUGCGCCUUUAAUGAGCUGGAGAGACUCAAAGAAGUCAUCCAAAAGUUGAUGAUAAUCUGGAAAUACUGUCUCAUCAACAGCUAGAAUCACCUUCAUAGUGCUGCCGUAACUUUGGUAGUGUAUAAACAGAGCCUGCACAAGCCAUCCAAAAAUAGAAUGCAAGAUCGAGUAAAUAGAUAUAUGAAUGCAAAUAGUUUGUUGAAAAGGAAAACAUAUGUUUUAUAUGCAUUGGUUUUCUUCUUUUUACAAGUAAUAAAGUAAAAAAAAAAUGCAAACUACAUGCAACUCUAAUAACACCGCCUAUAUAUGCUAGAAGAGAUAGCAUGCGCCUCGCAUAUAACUGAGAAUCAUGAUCACGCUCAUCAUAUGUGCAUUUUUGUUAAAUUUAACACACUGAUUAAUUGUGACAACCAUGAUAACUGGAGAGCUUGAACCCUAAGUAAGUGGCUAAGACAGAAGUUAGUUCUACUUUACCACAAUGAUCGAAGUGCCACUGUUAUUCUACAAAUUAAAUGGCAUAAAUUCUAUGUAAAAUUGUAAAUCUAGCGGUCAAGGUUCAUCCUGGCGAUAAGCCAUCUCAUCCUACGGAUCAAAUUCACAUGAAUGGCAAAACAACCUCUGGGAGGUAAGUACUGGCCCAUCGCUAAUCAUCAUUUCUCUUGUUUUCUCCCAAUCGAACAAAGUUUUUAGGAAAAUACAAUGAAUUCAAUUCAUACAAACUUACAUCUUAACUAAAUUAAUGUGUAGGUUGUGUGUAUCUGCUUGAUGCAGAGACCGAAAGAUCAAUAUAAAAAGUCAUGUAAAAUACUACACACAAUUAUUAUUUUUUGACAAGUAAAACAAACUACAAACUUUAGUGUGUUGAUCACUCAUCAUAUACCAAUUAGCAUCAGUCUCCUUGUAUUAUGGCUUGUCUAGCAGAUGAUUUAUGUUGAGAAAACUACAUACAUAAGAUUCCGGUUGCAUUUAUGUAAGAUCAAGGAUGACUUACUUCUGGAAGCCCGUAGGCGCUGGGCGCAAUGAAGGCUAUCUGUUGGCCUUAGGUUGACAACAAGGAUCGAUCGGAUGCAGAGUUUGCUAGUCCUAGUGUCACCUGACAUUGAAGGUACGUUGUAAAACAAUUGAUGGUAAGUGAUCUUUAACAAUAGUUUUAAAAUAAAUUUUUUGUAUAACUAUAAGAGCUUACUUGAGUAGAAUAUAAACUAUGAAGUAAUCACACUAAUUCCAAAAGGGGCAGAGACUGAUGUUAUAUAGAAGUACAUAUCCCCCCGCAAAAAAAUAAAGUAGAAGUACAGAUCACCUAUAUAUAAGAUUGUUACAAGUCUUGUUCAAAAUUAAGAAAAACUAGGUGAUUCGCUGCGUGUUGCUGCGGAAAAUUCUAUUUGCAUAUUUUGCACAUGAUGUUACGAAUAAAUGAUAAUAAAAUGAUUAAAUGCAAAAGAAAUAUAAUAUUGUAGAACCAAACGACUUUAUCUUCCAAAGCACGUAUGCAAGGAUCAAUUUUGAUGUACAUGAACAUUUACUAUUUUCAGGAAAUAAAAAAAGAAAAGCUACGAGAACCUGAAUAUUCGGCUAUUCGCAAUUCUUAGAAACAUCGACAUACAUAUCAAGAAAAUAUGGGUAAUUGGUGAAAUAUUUAGGUGAAAUUAAAUCUUAGAUGCUAAAAGAUUGAAUUGUAGAAUGUGCCACCAAAAUGAAAUUGCUUUGUGGGUUGCGUGAAGCAUGAUGUGGACAUCUUGCAUGUAGCUUGCAAACAUUAAAUGCACCUUAGCGGGGAUCAACUUUAUAGAUUUUAGGUGAAAUUAAGUCUUAGGUGCUAAAAGAUUGAAUUGUAGAAGGUGCCACCAAAAUAAAAUUGCUUGUGGGUUGCAAGAUGCAUAAUGUGGAUGAUUAUGCGGACACCUUGCAUGUGUAGCUUGCAAACAUUAAAUACACCUUAUAGGAAUUAAUUUUAUACUUCCUCUGUCCCAUAUUAAGUGACGAGAUAUUACAUGUAUCUAGACGCUUUUUGGAUAUAAAUACAUCCAUAUUUGCACAAAUUUGAGUCACUUAAUAUGGGACGGAGGGAGUAGAUUAUAUUGAUAUAAAGAGGUAUCUUUGCAUGAAAUACAUACUAAAAGAAGAAAAAUAUAAGGAAGGCUGCUCAAGCCAGGAUGGACAUAGGAUGGAUCAAAGCUGCUCAACAAGUGGAAGACAAGAGGCAGAGGAUGGGCCUACAUUUGGACGUUUACGCACGCAUUCGGCCAGCUACAAGCCCAUUCCAUUCCAAAAACCCGAACCGAAGGAAGGAGGAGGGAACUCUCUCUUGUAUACUGGUUGUAGCCUCGUCUCCUAACCGAGGUGGGACUAAACACUGAGCAGCCUCACUAGCCUCUAUAGUAACCCUGACAUAGUUUUAGGUUAUUCUUGCUAACAGGAGGCGGCAUGUUUAAAAUUAAGUGGGUUGAUUUUAUUCUGUAUCUCCCGAUAAUCAAUUAUAUAUAGAAAAAUGCUGGCUAUAUAUAUAGAAAAUUGCUGGUACCAUGUGUUACUCUA